GAUGAACGCUGGCGGCGUGCCUAAUACAUGCAAGUAGAACGCUGAAGGAGGAGCUUGCUCUUCUGGAUGAGUUGCGAACGGGUGAGUAACGCGUAGGUAACCUGCCUGGUAGCGGGGGAUAACUAUUGGAAACGAUAGCUAAUACCGCAUGACAACAGUUAUUGCAUGAUAACUGUUUAAAAGGGGCAACUGCUCCACUACCAGAUGGACCUGCGUUGUAUUAGCUAGUUGGUGAGGUAACGGCUCACCAAGGCGACGAUACAUAGCCGACCUGAGAGGGUGCUCGGCCACACUGGGACUGCGACACGGCCCAGACUCCUACGGGAGGCAGCAGUAGGGAAUCUUCGGCAAUGGACGGAAGUCUGACCGAGCAACGCCGCGUGAGUGAAGAAGGUUUUCGGAUCGUAAAGCUCUGUUGUAAGAGAAGAACGAGUGUGAGAGUGGAAAGUUCACACUGUGACGGUAUCUUACCAGAAAGGGACGGCUAACUACGUG
rnacentral:rRNA from 1 species